rnacentral:rRNA from 1 species
UACGUAGGGUGCGAGCGUUGUCCGGAAUUAUUGGGCGAAAAGGGCGCGUAGGCGGCGGGGUAAGUCGGGUGUGAAAUCUCAGAGCUCAACUCUGAAACUGCACUCGAUACUGCUCUGCUUGAGGACUGGAGAGGAGACUGGAAUUCACGGUGUAGCAGUGAAAUGCGUAGAUAUCGUGAGGAAGACCAGUGGCGAAGGCGGGUCUCUGGACAGUUCCUGACGCUGAGGCGCGAAGGCCAGGGGAGCAAACGGG